GACGAACGCUGGCGGCGUGCUUAACACAUGCAAGUCGAACGGUAAGGCCCUUCGGGGUACACGAGUGGCGAACGGGUGAGUAACACGUGGGUGAUCUGCCCUGCACUUCGGGAUAAGCCUGGGAAACUGGGUCUAAUACCGGAUAGGACCCUGGGAUGCAUGUCCUGGGGUGGAAAGCUUUUGCGGUGUGGGAUGGGCCCGCGGCCUAUCAGCUUGUUGGUGGGGUGAUGGCCUACCAAGGCGACGACGGGUAGCCGGCCUGAGAGGGUGACCGGCCACACUGGGACUGAGGUACGGCCCAGACUCGUACGGGAGGCAGCAGUGGGGAAUAUUGCACAAUGGGCGCAAGCCUGAUGCAGCGAGGCCGCGUGAGGGAUGACGGCCUUCGGGUUGUAAACCUCUUUCAGCACCGACGAAGCGCAAGUGACGGUAGGUGCAGAAGAAGGACCGGCCAACUACGUGCCAGCCGCCGCCGUAA
rnacentral:rRNA from 1 species